rnacentral:rRNA from 1 species
UACGAAGGGGGCUAGCGUUGCUCGGAAUCACUGGGCGUAAAGCGCACGUAGGCGGAUUGUUAAGUCAGAUGUGAAAUCCCUGGGCUCAACCUGGGAACUGCAUUUGAGACUGCAUGGCUAGAGUAUGGAAGAGGGAAGUGGAAUUUCCGGUGUAGCGGUGAAAUGCGUAGAUAUCGGAAGGAACACCAGUGGCGAAAGCGACUUCCUGGUCCAAUACUGACGUUCAUGUGCGAAAGCGUGGGGAGCAAACAGG